rnacentral:rRNA from 1 species
UACGUAGGGGGCGAGCGUUGUCCGAAGUUACUGGGCGUAAAGAGCGCGUAGGCGGGUUUUUAAGUGAGGGGUGAAAGUCCGAGGCUCAACCUCGGAACUGCCUUUCAUACUGAAGACCUUGAGUGCGGGAGAGGCGAGUGGAAUGGUCGGUGUAGCGGUGAAAUGCGUAGAUAUCGAUCGGAACACCCAUGGCGAAGGCAGCUCGCUGGCCUGUAACUGACGCUGAGGCGCGAAAGCGUGGGGAGCAAACAGG